CACAGCUGUCCUCUUUGUCGACAUUUUCCGGGCAAUUUCUGGAAUAAGUGGUCAUAGAGAAAUACGGCAUUGAAUAGUGCAGCAGUGACCAUUCGCCUGAAGACAUCGUAAGGAUGCGAGCGUAUGCAUUUGUCCUGCCGAAUAUGCACGGAAAGGCAAUGAGACCUUGGUUCCUUGCCGCUGCCAUCCUUGUACCCUUUAUAUGCAACCCCUCUGAAGGAGGAGAGUAUGGAGAACAGCGCAUAGACUUUGAGCCACAUUAUUUCCCAUAUCAAAACAUCACAAAGGUAUUCGAAGAAAAUGUGACGUUGUGGCUGUACGGAACGAACUACAAGCACCAAGCUGAAGGCGGAACCCAAUGUAUCUACUUUCUACCUCAGAGCUUUCACGAUGGUGGACUAAAUUUCACCUACAACAAACUCGUGAACGGGACAUGGCAAGUAUUUUGGAAACUUUUA